UGCUCCUUAUUCUACCCUACUGUCACGAAACUGGUAUGGGUCUCCUCUGCAAAAGCUUCCUCCAUGCGAGUGUACUUCUCUACAUGGGCAAACAUGUCUGAAAAGUUAUGGGGAUAAGUCUUAGUCAAUAAUUUUUUUAAGUCAUUCUUUAGUAGGCUGCCCAUCAUCAUGGCCAUCACGGUUGACUGAUCCAGAUCGUGGACUUUUAGGGUCAUCGCAUUGAAAUGGUUGACAUAGGCAC
rnacentral:lncRNA from 1 species